AAGGACCCUAAGAAGACGGACAGAAGGGGGGACAAGAGGCCACAGGAAGCUAACUCGGAGGGAUGCAAAAAGAUAAUGACAGAAAAGAAGUCCCUAGGUGGUGAGAAGAAGGUUGAUGGUGCUGGAACUAACCUAUAUCGCUCUGAGGGACCUGAGGGACGAAAACAGGAGACGCCUACGACUCGAGAAGAUGCCCACUGAAACAGGGCUCUCGAAUAGAAGGCAAACGCUGGUAAGAACUCAAGAACGA
rnacentral:lncRNA from 1 species